AUAUUAUUUCUAUUCCUAUUUAUUAAGCCCGAGAGAUUUUUAUGAGAUUAUUCAGCGAAUAAGCCGAAAUAGUUAUUUCUUAGUAACGACCACGAAGGAUGGAUUUAUUUAAUUAGCAGGUUAGAACACCUGAGGCGAACGAAUUAUUUUAGUUAAUUACUCAACCACGCAAGAUGAAACCUAGUUGGUAUUUAUUUGAUCCAAUAGUGAGGAUUAAUAGUAGUAAUUCCCUAAUAUCAUCUUAGAAUAAUAAGUUCAUGCAUAUGAGGUUCAUGCAUAGUUAAAUACACAUUCUCAUUUGAGGAUUUUUAUUCGAGCAAAUAUCUUAUAUAUGUAUAUAUAUUCUCGUAAUAAAGGUCAAGGGCGAGAUUGAUAAUCUGUUGAGGAGCUUUUGUAUCACAGAAAAUCACUAUCAGGUUGAGCAGCUGCCGAUGGUGAUGAAGUGACGAGCGGGACUCUUUGUCUUAUUAUGUAUUAAUGAACUCUAGGGUUACAUGUCUUCAUACAUGUAAUCAGAACUGUAUUCCGCUGCGUACUCAGAAGUUUUAUGCUAUUUUGGAUAAAUCGGAGUUAUCCGAACUUAUUAGUUAUUUGAGUCUAUACGACUAAAACUCCGUUAUAUUAAAAAUAUCCAUGUUGUUAAUAAUGAUGAAAUGCGAUCC